rnacentral:tRNA from 9 species
GCGGGUGUGGCGGAAUUGGUAUACGCGCUAGAUUCAGGUUCUAGUGUUCGCAAGGACAUGAAGGUUCAAGUCCUUUCACCCGCA